GAUGAACGCUGGCGGCGUGCCUAAUACAUGCAAGUCGAGCGAACGGACGAGAAGCUUGCUUCUCUGAUGUUAGCGGCGGACGGGUGAGUAGCACGUGGAUAACCUACCUAUAAGACUGGGAUAACUUCGGGAAACCGGAGCUAAUGCCGGAUAAUAUUUUGAACCGCAUGGUUCAAAAGUGAAAGACGGUCUUGCUGUCACUUAUAGAUGGAUCCGCGCUGCAUUAGCUAGUUGGUAAGGUAACGGCUUACCAAGGCAACGAUGCAUAGCCGACCUGAGAGGGUGAUCGGCCACACUGGAACUGAGACACGGUCCAGACUCCUACGGGAGGCAGCAGUAGGGAAUCUUCCGCAAUGGGCGAAAGCCUGACGGAGCAACGCCGCGUGAGUGAUGAAGGUCUUCGGAUCGUAAAACUCUGUUAUUAGGGAAGAACAUAUGUGUAAGUAACUGUGCACAUCUUGACGGUACCUAAUCAGAAAGCCACGGCUAACUACGUG
rnacentral:rRNA from 1 species